rnacentral:misc_RNA from 1 species
GCAAGUAAAAGUCGUAACAAGGUUUCCGUAGGUGAACCUGCGGAAGGAUCAUUCAUAAUAAAGUGUUUUAUGGCACUUUUUAAAAAUCCAUAUCCACCUUGUGUGCAAUGUUAGAUCUCGUCAAUCUUGGCGAGAUUUUUAUACAUCAACUCAUUUUUUAACUAAUUUGUCUGAAAAAUAUUAUGAAUACUUAAUUCAAAAUACAACUUUCAACAACGGAUCUCUUGGCUCUC